UGCAAAUUUAGUAGAAAUUGAAACUUUCUCUGAGGACAAUUUUAUCAAACAAAACGCAAAGGAUUUUCAUUUUCAUGACUGCUUUUGGUUGGGUGGAUCUUAUGCAGAGCUCCCAGGAGUUUGGAUGUGGGCCACAUCAGGAACAAUGUUUACGUAUACCAACUGGGGACCAGGAGAGCCAAAUCACUAUCAUUCCGAUAAUGAGCACUGUUUGGAUCUUUAUUACUAUACCGGAUAUAAAACGUACUUCUGGAAUGAUAAAUUAUGUGAAGAACAUUGCCAUCCUAUCUGUGAACAACCGAGUAGCUCAGGGGGUUCAAUAUUUGGACGAAGAUAGAGGAUGCGUAUGAUACUUUACCAAAAGUUAGAUAUUUAACCAGUUUUGAUAAAUAAAAUCAUCAAACUUAA